rnacentral:lncRNA from 1 species
UGGUAAAAAAAAAAAAAAAAUUCAAAAGUUGUUGAUUCAGUCAUAGCAUGAAAACGCAUUAUUAUGCUUGGAGCUUGUGCUCUAGGGUUGAUAUGUGACUGAAUCUGUGAGUAAUAUACCUGGAAGUCAGUAACAAUGUUGGAUGUUGAUAGUGUAACUUUCUGAAUUUUCUGUGCUAUUUUGUUUUCAACUCAGUUUUAGGCUAGAAAUAUUUCUAGAACCUUUGGUAUCCUGUUUGGCCCAACUUAAUCCAACUACAACACACACACAAUAUCUAACACGUAUAUCUAACUUGUAAUGGCCGAAAGGUGAGAUUUAUUUUUAAAAUAAGUAACUUGUUUAUUUUAAAGCACCUAAUUAUUUAUAUAAAUGGAUAGUGGGUCUUCCUGGCCAAUUUCUGCACAGUGUAAAUCAACAGGCCUUUGUUGGUGUUCUGACU